ACCUCUUUCUCUGCUUUCCUUUUGUCUGACUGGCUGCGCCCCUACCUUUCUCUCUGAAUCCAUCACACCCCUCCCUGACUCCUGCCAGGCCAUGGCAGAAUUGCUGUUCCCAGGAAGGCUGCCUGGGAGCCCAGUCUGAUCAUGGUGGCCUGGAAAUCAAGGCUAAGCGAAAGGAAAGCCUGAAAGAGCUGCUCUCUAAGCACCACAGCAGGACUUGCCCCUGAAUGGAGAUGGGGCUGGGGCAGGAAGGUGGCAGGGAGGGGCUGGGCCCUGUGACUGUCACCUCCAGGUUGGAGGAGUGGGGAGGGAAAGGCAGGGCAGGGUGCAUUA
rnacentral:lncRNA from 1 species